rnacentral:rRNA from 1 species
ACGCUCGACACCUACGGGGCAGCAGUGGGGAAUAUUGCACAAUGGGGGAAACCCUGAUGCAGCGACGCCGCGUGGAGGAAGAAGGUCUUCGGAUUGUAAACUCCUGUUGUUGGGGAAAAAGAGGAUGGUACCCAACAAGGAAGUGGCGGCUAACUACGUGCCAUCAGCCGCGGUAAUCUGAGCGGGCUGGCAAGGC